rnacentral:rRNA from 1 species
GAUGAACGCUGGCGGCGUGCUUAACACAUGCAAGUCGAACGGUGAACACGGAGCUUGCUCUGUGGGAUCAGUGGCGAACGGGUGAGUAACACGUGAGCAACCUGCCCCUGACUCUGGGAUAAGCGCUGGAAACGGCGUCUAAUACUGGAUAUGUGACGUGACCGCAUGGUCUGCGUUUGGAAAGAUUUUUCGGUUGGGGAUGGGCUCGCGGCCUAUCAGCUUGUUGGUGAGGUAAUGGCUCACCAAGGCGUCGACGGGUAGCCGGCCUGAGAGGGUGACCGGCCACACUGGGAUUGAGACACGGCACAGACUCCUACGGGAGGCAGCAGUGGGGAAUAUUGCACAAUGGGAGAAGGCCUGAUGCAGUAACGCCGCGUGAGGGAUGACGGCCUUCGGGUUGUAAACCUUUUUUAGCAGGGAAGAAGCGAAAGUGACGGUACCUGCAGAAAAAGCGCCGGCUAACUACGUG